UGGGUGUGGGGUGGCGCAGGUUGGGGUGUUUUCAUGUUUCCUGGACUCCACUGGCUGUUCCCCCCGACCACCCUGCCCCGGUGCUCAGUGCUCCAGUGACACAUUGGAUUGAUCUACAUUCCAUCCCCAGACACAGCUUGGAGCAGCCUCUACCAAAUCGUUCACGUGUGCACACUCCAAUCCCAGCCACACACAGCAGACCCAGCGUGCCCUGGGUUUCCAAUUGGGCACCCUAAGCACCGGACUCUGCCCCAGCCUCUGGAUGACCUCAUGGAGCUGCCUGCUGGGCCUCCUCCUCCUGGGUGGGCGAGCUGGGUGUGGCUCCUUCCUGGCACACACUAGGGGUGCUGGCAGAGGGCCCCGCAGAGCCCAUCAAGGAACUUCUGGGCUGCCCAGUGGAGCCAAGCUCCAGGGUUGAACCAGAGCGUUUCGAAAGCUGGACGAGUGCUCUAUCGAUGGAUGAACUAUGUUCCUAACCAGGUCCGUCUUAAAGCAAAAGGGAAAGAGGGAAAGUGGGGGACUAGGGAAAUGGCUCAGCAGGUAAAGCAAGCAUCUGCCGUGCAACCGUGAGUACUGGGGUUCACAUCUCCAGACCCCAGGGAAGAGCUGGGUGGGUGUGGUGGCCCACCUGUAAUCGCAGCAAGGGAGACAAGGACAGGCUUUUCCCAGGUCUGACAAAGAAACAGUAACCGGAGACCCGCCUGGAGGUGUCUGACUUCAGCUUAGGGUCUCCACUUGUAUGCACACACCUGUGCAUCCACAUACAUGAGACUACAACUACACGCCAUCCACAUAGAUGAGAAUACAACUACAUGCCAUCCACAUACAUGAGAAUACAACUACACACCAUCCACAUACAUGAGAAUACAACUACGUGCCAUCCACAUAGAUGAGAAUACAACUGCAUGCCACCCACAUACAUGAGAACAUUACAGACCAUCCACAUACAUAAGAAUACAACUACAUGCCACCCAUAUACAUGAGAAUACACCUACACGCACCCAUGCAAAAGGAUAAAAGGAAAUACAAGGGAACGGAGCUGGGGUGGAGCUCAGUGGUGGAGCACUUCCCAUGUGUGAGAUGCUGAGUCCGAUCACUCAUUCAGCCCUUUGUCCCACUGCUGCAACCCUUUCAUUUGCUUGCAUUUAUUUAUUUAAUGACAGUGUCUAGCUAUAUAGACCAGGCUGGCCUGACUCACUGUAUAGCCCAGAUUGGCCUCAAACUCUUGGUGCUGGAUAGUUUAGGUCACCUUGACACGCACUAAAGUCACCUGGGAGGAGGGAACCUCAAUUAGAAAAUACUUCGACCCAUGAAGAAUACAGUUCUUCAUGUUGUGAAGCAGGCUGAACAAGCCACGAGGAGCGAGCCAGUAAACAGCACCCCUCCACAGCUUCUGCAUCAGCUCCUGCCUCCACGUUCCUGUCCUGACUUCCUUCAAAGAUGAGCAGCAAUAUGGAAGUGUACGCCAAAGAAAUCCUUUCUCCUCCAGGUUGCUUUUGGUGUUUCAUCACAGCAAUAGAAACGCUAAGACACCCCUGGUCCUCUCACCUCUACCUUGUGAGUGCUGGUAUUAUACCGUGCUGACCACCUUCAAAGCUUUUUAAAACCGUUUUUCACCCUCACUGCUCCCACCACUCAACUUGUUAUUUUUCAUCUGGAAGCAUCUUGUUGAAGCAUCUUGUUCUUCUAGCUCCUCCGACUCCCAAUCUCUCGUGAACAAUUUAGUCUGCAGUCCAGGGCUGGGGGUCCUGGGACCAAGGCAUAUGGUUCAUACCCAAGUCUUGCUCUCCUUCUGUCUGAUUCAAGCAGGGCCAGGCCAGGUGGUUGGCAGGAUCUAGCUCAAUAAAAGGCUGUGCCUGUGUGCAAGGCUGCCUCAGGAACCCUGGGGCAGCCAGGAUCUCUAGCAAGCUCUAGCACCUAGGAGCCAAAUACAUGGUCUUGGUACUGUCUACUCUCAAGGCUGUAAGGCAGGGAGCAGGAAGACCUCUGGCUUUGAUCAUAGAAGCCUGCCCAGCCUGAUACCUAAAGGCAGAGACCCUCACUUCUUCCACACUCUGGAAUGCCCUUCAGCCCAGCCAAGGGGACUCCUUCAGCUCAGCCAAGGUCUGCUGAAGAGAGACAUGCAAAUCUGCUCCACUGACUGAUCAGCUGCUAGGAAGAGACAGGAGAGACUAUCCAACCAGUUGCUGCUAUCAGAGGCCAGCAUGGCUGGAGCUGGCCAUGUUGCUGGGAGAUGGGGAUGGGGUGGGGGAGGUAAGGCAUGGCAUGUUGAGACAAUUAUCUCAAUGAAAGGCCAUGGAACAAGGAGCUGCCAUGUAGAUAGAAAAAAAAACAUGUGUGGGAAAUCUACCUCUCACUCACUCUGAUCACAGGGAUAAACCCUCAAAGGACUAAAGGGUUGGUUUUUAAAUUUUUUUAAAUUUAUUUUUAUAUUAUGUGUAUGUGUGUGUACCUGUGUGAGUUUAUGUAUACAACAUAUGUGCAGUGCCCACCAAGACCAGAAGAGGGCGCCUGCUCUCUCUGGAGCCAGAGUUACAGGCUGCUGUUCUCCACCAUGUGGUUGCUGGGUAGUAACCUGUAUUUCCUUCCUCCAAGAGCAGCUAGUGCUCUCGACUGCUGAGCCAUCUUGCCAGCCCCAGGAUUAAAGAUAAUAAAUAAAUAAAUAAACAAACAAAUGCCAUAAAGAAAUGCAAUAAAUAAAAAAAUGCAAUAAAUAAAUAAAUGCUACUGACCAG
ensembl:antisense Arhgap27os3 Rho GTPase activating protein 27, opposite strand 3